GGAGGCAGCAGUGGGGAAUAUUGGACAAUGGGCGAAAGCCUGAUCCAGCCAUGCCGCGUGUGUGAAGAAGGUCUUCGGAUUGUAAAGCACUUUAAGUUGGGAGGAAAGGCAUUAACCUAAUACGUUAGUGUUUUGACGUUACCGACAGAAUAAGCACCGGCUAACUUCGUGCCAGCAGCCGCGGUAAU
rnacentral:rRNA from 1 species